UACAGAGACCUCAAGCGUUAUCCGGAAUCAUUGGGCGUAAAGCGUACCGAUAGGUGGUCUAAAAAGUCAGAAGUGAAAUCUCCGAGCUCAACUCGGAAUCUGUCUUUUGAAACUUUUAGACUAGAAGGGCAAAGAGGAAGCUGGAACGAACGGUGUAGUAGUGAAAUGCGUAGAUAUGCGGAGGAACACCGAUGGCGAAGGCAAUCCCCUGGGCCUGCACUGACGCUCAUGCACGAAAGCGUGGGGAGCAAACAGG
rnacentral:rRNA from 1 species